UUGCUUUAGGACUUGAGCAGUCUCUGCUCCCUUGCCACGGGCCCCCAGGCCGCAGGACCCCAGACAGACCACUUGAGGCCAGGCCCAGCCCAGAGGAGAGCCCUGGCUUGCCUUGUCUUAAGGAAUCCCCUCCCCACUGUCAGUCCAGAGGUCCAAGUGGGACUCCACCUCCUGCACCAGAAUAAAGCAGGAGAUUAUUGAAUAAUCCCAGACAUAUUAGCUGCCUUAGUCCUCAAAACUGCCUAAAAAGGAAUGAAGACUAUACAGACGAGAGAGCUGAGGCUUAAAGGAAGAAAGUGGUAUACCUAAAGUCCUCUGUGAAAGAAGUGGCAGACCUGGGAUUCGAAGUUGGUUCUAGUUACUCUAAAACCUGAGCUCUCUCCAUAAGGAUGUAGUGAAGACCAUGAUGUGGUCGUGUUUUGUGCAUGAUAUCUGGAGAUGUAGCAGCCAUCUUGUGACCAGGAAGGUGAACCAACACAUUAAUGAUGACAUCAUGGGAAGUUGGAAGUGACAUCACUGAGCUGCUGAAUUAAUGACUCCUGCAGCCAUUAAACCUUGAAACUUAAUCUUUGAGUUGAUACAUUUUUCUCAUUGUUAAUCAACUAAAUUGGUGGUUCCAUUUUUGCAGCC